UAAUACGAAGGGACCUAGCGUAGUUCGGAAUUACUGGGCUUAAAGAGCUCGUAGGUGGUUAAAAAAGUUGAUGGUGAAAUCCCAAGGCUCAACCUUGGAACUGCCAUCAAAACUUUUUAGCUAGAGUGUGAUAGAGGUAAGUGGGAUUUCUAGUGUAGAGGUGAAAUUCGUAGAUAUUAGAAAGAACACCAAAAGCGAAGGCAACUUACUGGGUCACUACUGACACUGAGGAGCGAAAGCAUGGGUAGCGAAGAGGAUUAGAUACCCUCGUAGUCCAUGCCGUAAACGAUGUGUGCUAGACGUUGGAAAUAUAUUUUUCAGUGUCGCAGCGAAAGCAUUAAGCACACCGCCUGGGGAGUACGACCGCAAGGUUAAAACUCAAAUGAAUUGACGGGGACCCGCACAAGCAGUGGAGCAUGUGGUUUAAUUCGAAGAUACGCGCAGAACCUUACCAACACUUGACAUGUUCGUCGCGAGACUAAGAGAUUAGUCUUUUCAGUUCGGCUGGACGAAACAC
rnacentral:rRNA from 1 species